rnacentral:rRNA from 1 species
AUUGAACGCUGGCGGCAUGCUUUACACAUGCAAGUCGAACGGUAACAGGGAGCUUGCUCCGCUGACGAGUGGCGAACGGGUGAGUAAUGCGUCGGAACGUGCCGAGUAGUGGGGGAUAACGCAUCGAAAGGUGUGCUAAUACCGCAUACGAACUGAGGUUGAAAGUGGGGGACCUUCGGGCCUCACGCUAUUCGAGCGGCCGACGUCUGAUUAGCUAGUUGGUGAGGUAAAGGCUCACCAAGGCGACGAUCAGUAGCGGGUCUGAGAGGAUGAUCCGCCACACUGGGACUGAGACACGGCCCAGACUCCUACGGGAGGCAGCAGUGGGGAAUUUUGGACAAUGGGCGCAAGCCUGAUCCAGCCAUGCCGCGUGUCUGAAGAAGGCCUUCGGGUUGUAAAGGACUUUUGCCCGGGAGCAAAUGCUGGUGGCUAACAUCCACCGGAGCUGAGAGUACCGGAAGAAUAAGCACCGGCUAACUACGUGCCAGCAGCCGCCGUAACAC